rnacentral:rRNA from 1 species
GACGAACGCUGGCGGCGUGCUUAACACAUGCAAGUCGAACGAAGCACCUUGAUUUGAUUCUUCGGAUGAAGAUCUUGGUGACUGAGUGGCGGACGGGUGAAUAACGCGUGGGUAACCUGCCUCAUACAGGGGGAUAACAGUUAGAAAUGACUGCUAAUACCGCAUAAGACCACAGCACCGCAUGGUGCAGGGGUAAAAACUCCGGUGGUAUGAGAUGGACCCGCGUCUGAUUAGGUAGUUGGUGGGGUAACGGCCUACCAAGCCGACGAUCAGUAGCCGACCUGAGAGGGUGACCGGCCACAUUGGGACUGAGACACGGCCCAAACUCCUACGGGAGGCAGCAGUGGGGAAUAUUGCACAAUGGGGGAAACCCUGAUGCAGCGACGCCGCGUGAGCGAUGAAGUAUUUCGGUAUGUAAAGCUCUAUCAGCAGGGAAGAAAAUGACGGUACCUGACUAAGAAGCACCGGCUAAAUACGUGCCAGCAGCCGCGGUAA